UGGGGAAUAUUGCGCAAUGGGCGAAAGCCUGACGCAGCCACGCCGCGUGAGCGAUGAAGGCCUUCGGGUCGUAAAGCUCUGUGGGGAGAGACGAAGAAAGCCUGUGAAGAGCAGGCCUUGACGGUAUCUCCUUAGCAAGCACCGGCUAACUCCGUGCCAGCAGCCGCGGUAAUACGGAGGGUGCAAACGUUGCUCGGAAUCAUUGGGCGUAAAGCGCACGUAGGCGGCGAAGCAAGUUGGGUGUGAAAGCCCUGGGCUCAACCCAGGAAGUGCAUUCAAAACUGCUUCGCUUGAAUCUCGGAGGGGGUCAGAGAAUUCCCGGUGUAGAGGUGAAAUUCGUAGAUAUCGGGAGGAAUACCAGUGGCGAAGGCGCUGACCUGGACGAAGAUUGACGCUGAGGUGCGAAAGCGCGGGGAGCAAACAGG
rnacentral:rRNA from 1 species